rnacentral:tRNA from 1 species
GUGAGCGUAGCUCAGUUGGUUAGAGUACUGGACUGUGGAUCCAGUUGUCGCGGGUUCGAAUCCCGUCGCUCACC